UACGAGUGCCCCAAGCGUUAUCCGGAAUUAUUGGGCGUAAAGGGUGUGUAGGCAGCAUGGUUAGUCUUUUGUUAAAGCUCCCGGCUCAACCGGGAAGAUGCAAGGGAAACGGCCAUUGCUAGAGGAUGUGAGAGGUGAAUGGAACUCAUGGUGUAGGGUGAAAUCCGUUGAUAUCAUGGGGAACACCAAAAGCGAAGGCAAUUCACUGGCACAU
rnacentral:rRNA from 1 species